UGGGGGCUAUUGCACAAUGGGCGAAAGCCUGAUGCAGCGACGCCGCGUGGGGGAUGAAGGCUUUCGGGUUGUAAACCUCUUUCGCUAUCGAACAAGGCCCGCUUAGGGUGGGUUGAGGGUAGGUGGAGAAGAAGCGCCGGCUAACUACGUGCCAGCAGCCGCGGUAAUACGUAGGGCGCGUGCGUUGUCCGGAAUUAUUGGGCGUAAAGGGCUUGUAGGCCGCUUGUUGCGCCUGCUGUGAAAACGCUGGGCUUGACUUCGCGCGUGGAGUGGGUACGGGCGGGCUUGAGGGUGGUAGGGGUGACUGGAAUUCCAGGUGUAGCGGUGGAAUGCGAAGAUAUCUGGGGGAACACCGAUGGCGAAGGCAGGUCACUGGGCCAUUACUGACGCUGAGGAGCGAAAGCAUGGGUAGCGAACAGG
rnacentral:rRNA from 1 species